GCUGGAAAUGACAAGACAGAAGAACAACAAGAAGUUGACCGGUCCCCAGAGCCUCGAAGAGUGUCCUUGAAGAAACGACCGCAGGCUGAUUAUCUGAAAGGCACACCCAAGACUCUCAGCCUCAAAGAGGCUUUGGAGCUCUUCAGGCCAGACUUCAUCAGCCGAUCUCAAGGUCGGGUGAGGAGGUUAGAGCGGAGGGUUUCAAAAAGGAGAUUGCUGCAGGACUCCAAUCCAGACGUGGUGCAGGGCCUCAGGGAGGAACGAGACAAACAGAAGAGAAACUGCACCACACCGGAUCCACUUAGUGAUAACCUUUUCAAGCCUAGAGAGAGGUCUAUAUCAGGCAGAGAGAUGCAGCUGAGGUCCAGACGGAUUUACAAAAAGCUACCAGAGGUGACAAAGAAAAAAGAGGAGGAGAAGAAGAGGACCAUAUCACAAACCAACAGAUUGCGAGCGGACAUCUUUAAAAAGAGACUUCUGGACCAGAUACUGCAAAGAUAAAUUAGAGAAACCAGGAGGUGAAACUGUGUUAAUUCACUGACCAUUCUGGCUCUGAUGUAAAUUAAAUAGGAAUGUAUUUAAUUCAGUCAAUCUUCUAUGCAAAUCAUUUCCAUGCCUUGGCAUAUAUUCAUUUUAUUAAGGCUUGAUAUAUAUUAAAUAUCAUGUUCAAUCUUUACUUAUUCUAUCCUGACUGCUUAACAGUUAGAAUGAAUACAAAAUCAGAAACACAAAUUGGAUUUUGCAGAACAAGACGAUGAAGUUAUGACGGUGACAAAAACACACAUUUUGAGUAAUUUUUCAUUAUUUUCCAACUGUGUAAUCUUAUUUGAUAUGUUCCAGAGAAGACACAAUUCAAUCUAUGCCACAAUGGCAAGGACAAAUAAGCAUUUUCUUACCCAUAUUAAACUGUAUGGUAUUCUGUAUAUACAAAUUGUAUAUGAUGUUCAAUAUAAAUAACAAUUGUUGUUGUGUGCAGACAUUGACAAAACCUAAACUUCUGACACCAACACACACAAAUGAGAAUUAGGUUUACAGUUUUAUAUGUUGAAAAAAUGCAAUUAUACCUUUCUUUACUGUUUAAAUGAAUGCCCAAUGAUUAAAAGCAAUAGAGGCAAAUCUUGGCUCAUA